rnacentral:ncRNA from 1 species
CUACCCCAGAUCAGGCAGGAUCACCAGCUGAGUUUAAGCAUAUCAAUAAGCGGAGGAAAAGAAACUAACAAGGAUUCCCUUAGUAACGGCGAGCGAACCGGGAAGAGCCCACCUUAAAAAUCGGACGUCUUCGGCGUUUGAAUUGUAUUCUGGAGAAGCGUCCUCAGCGACGGACCGGGCACAAGUUCCUUGGAAAGGGGCGCCAGAGAGGGUGAGAGCCCCGUCAUGCCUGGACCCUAUCGCACCACGAGGCACUGUCUACGAGUCGGGUUGUUUGGGAAUGCAGCCCCAAUCGGGCGGUAAAUUCCGUCCAAGGCUAAAUAUGGGCGAGAGACCGAUAGCGAACAAGUACCGCGAGGUAAAGAUGAAAAGGACAUUGAAAAGAGAGUCAAAGAGUGCUUGAAAUUGUCGGGAGGAAGCGGAUGGGGGCCGGCGAUUCGUCCCGGUCGGAUGCGGAACGGAGCAAUCCGGUGAGCCGAUCGAUUCGGGCCGUGGACCGAUGCGGAUUAAGGUGGUGACCUAAGCCCGGGCUUUUGUUACGCCCGCGGAGAUGUCGCUGCCUUAAUCGUGGUCUGGAGCACCCGCCUCACGGCGUGCCUCGGCAUCUGCGUGCUCAGGGCGUCGGCCUAUGGGCUCCCCAUUCGACCCGUCUUGAAACACGGACCAAGGAGUCUGACAUGUAUGCGAGUCAUCGGGUGAGUAAACCCGUAAGGCGCAAGGAAGAUGAUUGGCUGGAUCCCUCACGGGUGCACAGCCGACCGACCUUGAUCUUCUGAGAAGGGUUCGAGUGUGAGCAUGCCUGGCGGGACCCGAAAGAUGGUGAACUAUGCUUGAGCGGGGCAAAGCUAGAGGAAACUCUGGUGGAGCCCCGCAGCGAUACUGACAUGCAAAUCGUUCGUCUGACUUGGGUAUUGGGGCGAAAGACUAAACGAACCAUCUAGUAGCUGGUUCCCUCCG